AUGUCCGAUGCUGAAUGUUGCCAAUUAUGUGGAGCACAAGAUUCAUGGAGGCAUUCCCUCCUGGAGUGCUCCAUGGCCCGCUGUGUAUGGGCCCUCUCUGAUGGCGACCUCGCUGAACAUUUACAAGCAACAAGUGAGCCGAAUGCGAAGCAAUAGUUAUUCACUUUGUUUGAAAAUCUGUCACAUGCCCAGCUGAUCAAGUUCGUUGUUACUCUAUGGGCGAUUUGGAAUGCACGUCAAAGGGCUCGGACAGCUCCGGUUCAAGGAGUGAGAAGCAGCAGAGGUUGGAUGGCGCCAGAGGUUGGAGUUGCAAAGAUCCAAGUGGAUGGAGGUCUAGCAAGGAAUGGGAGAAGAGGAGCAGCAGCUACGAUAUGCCGAGAUCACACCGGAAAAUUCCUGGGUUCGUCGGCUAUGGUUUUUGAUCACAUUACGGAUCCGGCUACCUUGGAAGCUCUUGCAUGUAGAGAAGCUUUGUCUUUGGCUCUCAAUUUAUCUUUGGAUCGAUGUGUAAUUGUUUCCGACUGCAAACCAGUGGUGGAGGAGAUACAGCAAGGCUCGGAUGGGAGAUAUGGGAUGAUCAUAAAGGAAAUUGUCACCACGGCAAGAGAAUUCACUAGCCGCCAGUUCGUAUAUGAAAACCGGGCAAUGAACGGAGAUGCUCAUAAUUUGGCCAAAUUUUCAUCUUCUUUAAUACAGGGGCGCCAUUUGGGCUGGGUGUACCCCACGACCCUUUUGUAA
rnacentral:rRNA from 1 species